rnacentral:rRNA from 1 species
UACGGGGGGGGCAAGCGUUGUUCGGAAUUACUGGGCGUAAAGGGCUCGUAGGUGGCCAACUAAGUCAGACGUGAAAUCCCUCAGCUUAACUGGGGAACGGCGUCUGAUACUGGAUGGCUUGAGAUUGGGAGAGGGAUGCGGAAUUCCAGGUGUAGCGGUGAAAUGCGUAGAUAUCAGGAGGAACACCGGUGGCGAAGGCGGGUCUCUGGGCCGUAACUGACGCUGAGGAGCGAAAGCAUGGGGAGCGAACAGG